CCACGCUGCUGGGGAUCGCCGUGCUGGUGCUCGUGGCGCUGGUGUGUGCCCGGGUUCCGUACCCGGGGCGCGGGC
rnacentral:tRNA from 1 species